ACUGACACGCUGUUCAGAUGCCGCAACAUGUGAUUGUAUCAUGAUUCCUUUUCUUCACCAUGCUUUCUUGUCUCCAACUGAUCCGGGGACGAAGCGGUGACUGUUGUUUGAUCAUUACGUUUUCGACAGUCAUGCGGCAUGUGUUAAACAGUUAAACAGGGUAAAAAUUAUUUAGUCAUCUUCAAGGGUAAUCGAAAGCGAAGCGUGGAACAGUCUGCGACACCCUUUCCACAUGGCCCUUUAUGUGUAAGUUUUAUUAUUAGAUAGUGACAGAGAGGCACGUCCAAAACUCUUGAUUCUUAUGGCUUUCAAGGACUGUGUCCAUGGUAAGAACAAACUGGUUUGAUUGCGUACAUCGUUUUUGAUCUUUUGGUAUGUUCUCUACACAUACUACGCAGGCAAUUUAACCUAACAAUCUUGUAAAUUCAUAUCAUUCAUCGUUAACUUUCCAAAGUUUCGAAAUAGGACUGCUGCUGGUAUCACGAGCCUUCCCUCACUCUAGUCUUAAUUUAGACGGCUAAAUAUAGUGAGUAUAAUGAAUCAUCAUGUCUUAAAAAAACCCCGAAUCUUACCGAAUCAUCGGGUGAUCGCUGACUCAAUUCACUGGCGAUGAUUGUAAAAUCAAAAAUUACGUACAAAUCUCCAACGGCCCUCUCGCGUUCCGCCUAACAUUUGCCGGAUUUAGUUGAUCGAGCAUCUCUGAUCCAGCCUUCCUAUGCCCGGCACAUGCCUUGUGAUAGUGUUAAUUGGUGAUCUUCUUUGGCUGAAGGCGACUUCUUCCGAUCGCUUAACGCGGAGUAUAAAUUACAUUGCUUUGUUUCAGUUCGGGCAUCAGUUUGAGGCAGGUGAAGCUUGCGAGCGGACGGACAGAGCUAAUCGUGACCGCGUGUUAAGAACAGAACGGUUGGGUUGAUUUUUGUGUUUAACAUAACAGUGAUACAAAGCGCCAAGUAACGAACAUGAAGUCCAAUCAAAUGCUGGUAUCAUCAUCGGUCGUGAUCUGCCUUGGCCUGUUACUGUGCACCAUGCAUGCAGGUGUGGAAAGUGCACCAAUCGUAGCAGGCGACGACGUCCCGCUGCACGUGCUUCCUUUGGCGCAAGAACACGUGGGCGAUGAUUCCUUGCUGCGCUCGUCUGAUGCACUCGCUGCUGCUGCUGCUGCUGCUGCGCCCCACAGUCGAAGCAAGCGUGAAAUAAUCUUCCGCCCCCUGUUCGUGUAUCGUCAGCAGCAGAUUAAAAGGCAGAAACAUCACACCACCACCACCAUAGCGCCGUACAACUUUGUCAACGAUUAUGAUACGUACGAUGAUGCUUAUCAAAGUUAUCCCCAAUAUCCAGCCGUGUAGUAGAUUUGCAUGAUGCAGCAAUUGCAAUGUUUUGCAGUAUUGCAUUUACUUACAUGCUCUCCAUGCGUGCAGUCGUAGCCAUAAACAUCGAACCGCGCCAUCCAGCACUGCGCACUGAUGGGCGGCUCUCGAGGGUUCGAACUCUGCUCCCGACCGGGGAGGUAAUUAAUGUUGUGAUAAAUGUUUGUUAAUUAGGGGAUAAAACUGAAACAGGUUGCUAUUUAUACUUACGUACAAUAAUAUACACAAUGCGAAGGGAUUUGGAGGUGCGCUGUAGAGACAAACACAACUUUGUGCCUAAUAUACGCUGUAUUUAGUAUGUAUUGAUUAGUUCGGAUGUGCUAAUAAAAAUGAGUUUGCAUCUUUUCUUACCAAA